rnacentral:lncRNA from 12 species
UUUUGGGUGGAUUUUGAACCGGAAUUGUGACUGAAAAUGACAUUUUUUUAACACCAUUUUGGGCCAUUUUCGGGCGCUGCUCGCUGGGGAUUUCUGCGAUUGCCCCCGGGAUUU